rnacentral:rRNA from 1 species
UACGUAGGGGGCAAGCGUUGUCCGGAUUUACUGGGCGUAAAGAGCGUGUAGGCGGCCACGCAGGUCCGUUGUGAAAACUGGAGGCUCAACCUCCAGCUGUCGACGGAAACCGUAUGGCUAGAGUCCGGAAGAGGAGAGUGGAAUUCCUGGUGUAGCGGUGAAAUGCGCAGAUAUCAGGAGGAACACCGGUGGCGAAGGCGCCACCUCUGGGCCGGUACUGACGCUGAGGAGCGAAAGCGUGGGGAGCAAACAGG